rnacentral:ncRNA from 1 species
ACUGAUGUAUUCAUCGAGUUUAUAGUCUUGACCGACAGGCCGGGUAAUCUUUGAAAUUUCAUUGUGACGGGGAUAGAUCAUUACAAUUGUUGGUCUUCAAC